UCGAGAAUCUUCGGCAAUGGGCGCAAGCCUGACCGAGCGACGCCGCGUGGAGGACGAAGGCCUUCGGGUUGUAAACUCCUGUCGAGGGGGAACAAGGGGCGACGAAGAGUCGUCCUUGAGUGAUCCCUGGAGGAAGCACGGGCUAAGUUCGUGCCAGCAGCCGCGGUAAGACGAACCGUGCGAACGUUAAUCGGAAUUACUGGGCGUAAAGCGUGCGCAGGCGGUGAUGUAAGACAGAUGUGAAAUCCC
rnacentral:rRNA from 1 species